ensembl:miRNA
UAUUGUAGUGAGAGCAUGUUCUGUUCAGUAGAGUAGCCUAGGAGCAAACAGCUACUCUAGGGCUGGAGAGAUGGCUCAGCAGUUAAAGGCAAGGCUCACAACCAAAAAUAUA